rnacentral:lncRNA from 1 species
AACAAAUCAAGAAAUUCAUAGCAAAACUCUGAAAUAUUAAUAUUGUUUCCUUUCAAACAAUUCAGGAAGAAUGGCUGGAUUAAAAUAUGUCGGUUGCAGAAAGAGAAAAAAAACCCGUGAAACUAUUCUAUAGCCUGUUCCUUCUCCCUAAUGUUUGGAAAAUACGAGCACAGGUGUUUAAGCAGAGGCCGGCCAGUGGCGAGUGCUCACAAGCUCUCUGCAACAUCUCCCAUGAAGAAGUGGUGUGCGUUUCUUUAUUCUGGAACGAGGCGAGAGCAGCAUGGAAACUCACAGGCACUGCACCCUCUGCUCUCUCACGGCCCCUUCCCUGUGAACAGCCGGCUGCCUCUGUGAGGACAUGUGCGAAGGUGUUCAUCUGCCAGCCAGGAGCAGAGCCCUCACCAGAGACCAGGCUCUGCGGGACCUUGGUUUGCACUUUCCAACCCCGACAACUGGAAGAACGUAAGAACCUGUCACUGAAGCCAGCCCGUCCACGGCAUUUUCAUGUGGGAACCAAACAGGCCUGGAAGAUUUUGAGCAAAUGCAACCUACAGAAAUCCCAAGAAGUGUCAUCAGGGACAGAAGACCAUUCUUUGCCACUAGAUGAGAGCCACACAACUAAGUCACCUCUCCAGCUGAAAAGCCCGUGCCUGCUCCUUCCUCGGGCAAGCCCAGCUUUGGUGCAGGGUCCUCAAAGGCUGACACUUGUGGGAAGGAGCCAGGAAGGCCAUCGAGGUCCUGUGGACAGGCAGGCGCCAGGUUUGUGUGUUCCUGCCUGCGGGUCAGCAUAUCCUAUAAUGUUUUCAGGAAUCAUAUUUUGCUGCUCCUCCUGUCUUGUAGCAUUUCUAAUUAAAGUACCUGCUUGUCUGAACAGGUUUUCUGAGCCUUCGAAAGACACUUUUGUGUUUAUUUUCCUUCAUUUGUAUUUUUAGUGCCAUUUUUGAUCUUGCCUUCAGCGAAGUAGGAAUACAGGAUGCUUGGGCACAGGGCUGCUAAAGGGCCUGCGGAGUGUCUGGCUACUGCAGGGAUGGGGGACAGCUGCUGAAGGGAGGG